UGCUAGGUCUGAUGAAAUGUGUUCCCUUUUACCAAAAGAUUAAGAAUCUUAUCUCUGUUUUCUGAGGUCUGCUCAGCUAUUCCUGAAACCAGAGAUCAAAGAGGGGAUAUCAUCUGGAUCGAUUGGAAGACAUUCCAGAAAGUCAAACGCCCAGGAUUUGCCAUUUGAAAGUGAAUCCCCCAAACAGCCCCCUCUUCACUCAACAUUUGGAAACCAUGACCUGAGGAAUAUCUUGUAUUUGCAAGUAGCCUUCCAUGUCUAUGUCUGUGGUUCUCCGAUCCAGUUUUACCCCAUACAUCUGUAAGCCUGCUCACAAGAAGUCUCCUACAUGGCAUCCAAAGACGCCCACUGUGGACGCAUACCCUCUCACACACAAAUACACUCAACCACACACACACACACUCUGAAACUCACACACACACUCAUGCACAUAUACACUCAAACACACUCAUACAUACACACUGAAACUCACACACUCAUGCACACACACACAUUCAAACUCUUUCUCUCUCUCUCUCUCUCUCUCUCUCUCUCUCUCUCACACACACACACACACACACACACACACACACGCACAACUUUGCAGUGGCAAAGCCACUCUAUUAAGAAAACUCAUGAAACCCUAAGGAUCCCCCAAUUUUCUUUGAACUUCUCGGUGGGGGCAAGUGGAUGGCUGAUCUUUUCUUUUCUUCCAGAAAUGGGUCCCACAGCGGUAACCAAACUAUACCUGACACAUCUCGAAAUGACCUUCUCUAAAACUGCAAAUUUAGCAGGGCCUGAAGAAAUGGGAGGCGACGACUAUUAAGAUCUAGGGCUGGAGGGAAGAAACAGUGCUAGAGCGGAGCUGAAUCGAGCCUCCUCUGGGCAGGGGUCCUCUCAGGCAGCCCGGGGACUCUUUGACUGCUUCCUUGUCAGUUACCGCAGUCAGGCAGAGCUUUGCUUGGACGUUUCUGUCACUUUCUCUUGAGGGUUUCAUGAACUUCAAAAAUCCGAAAGCUCCCCCCGGCCCUCCCCAGAAGCUGAUUUAUCUUUCAUGUAUUGGUUGCAUUUCCUUCCUCAAUCACUAAUUACAGCAGAUUAAUGUUUUCAAACAGGGUCUUUUCUCCAUUUAAUCCAUCUCCCCUUCCUGACUCUUUGGAGCAAGCAGGAAACAUACUGAAAGAGGUCAUAAUCCUUUUGUUUGCCUCAGUCCCCUUUUAGGACAUCAGGGAUGUUUAGAAAGGAGCAGCUCAGGGAGAGAGAGGAGAAAGUAAAGAUCCUGAAAGAAAUAUGAGUCCGCAUCUUUCGCGGGUGAGGGAGCGGUCUUCCCUGCCCUGGACUGGUUUUCAAAGGAGCUAACUAAGGAAUCAAGAAUACUGAGAAGAAAGAAGUACCAACCACCCAAGAUCAUUCUAAACAAGACCAGAAUUGGAUUUGGAGCGGCUUUGUUUUUUUAUGAUACACAUUUCCUGUUACUACCACUCAAACUCCCUAAAAAGGGAUAAAGAGACUUUAUGUUUUGAUUUAGCCACUGUGGACACUUUGGUUCCCUUUGUUGACCAAUGAGAAAUAAACUAGGCACCUCAAAUAUUUGUGUCGUAUGC
ensembl:lncRNA